rnacentral:rRNA from 1 species
GGUGAACGCUAGCGGCAGGCUUAAUACAUGCAAGUCGAGGGGUAGCAAGAUUGUAGCAAUACAAUUGUUGACGACCGGCAAACGGGUGCGGAACACGUACACAACCUUCCUACAAGUGGGGAAUAGCCCAGAGAAAUUUGGAUUAAUACCCCGUAACAUAGCGAUGUGGCAUCACAUUGCUAUUAUAGCUUCGGCGCUUGUUGAUGGGUGUGCGGCUGAUUAGAUAGUUGGCGGGGUAACGGCCCACCAAGUCUACGAUCAGUAGCUGAUGUGAGAGCAUGAUCAGCCACACAGGCACUGAGACACGGGCCCGACUCCUACGGGAGGCAGCAGUAAGGAAUAUUGGACAAUGGACGCAAGUCUGAUCCAGCCAUGCCGCGUGAAGGAUUAAGGUCCUCUGGAUUGUAAACUUCUUUUAUAAGGGACGAAAAAAGGUCUUUCUAGAUCGUCUGACGGUACCUUAUGAAUAAGCACCGGCUAACUCCGUGCCAGCAGCCGCGGUAAGAC